rnacentral:rRNA from 1 species
AUGGCUUCUUCCUCCAGCGCCCGAAGCAGCCGUGUGGCCACAUGCCUCGUGCUGCUUCUCCUGGCCGUCAGCCUCCGAGAAGCCUCGGCCGCGAGGCCGCUCCGGCCAGCCGUCGACAUGCCUAGCGAGGUGCUCAAGGACCAGGUGAUCGUCAACAAGUACGCGCCGCUUCUGCUCGCCAUGCUGCCGAGGGGCCCCGUGACGCCGUCCGGCCCCAGCGGCGGCACGAACGAGGCCGGGAACUGA